rnacentral:sRNA from 1 species
GUACUACUUGGCCUUUCUGGAGUCAUUCUUGUUUUGUUGUCUGUCCUUGGGUCGGUUGGAUUGUUUAGUGUGCUUGGUGUAAAAUCUACUCUGAUCAUCAUGGAAGUUAUCCCUUUUCUUGUCCUAGCUGUUGGGGUGGAUAAUAUGUGUAUACUAGUUCAUGCGGUAAAAAGACAACGACUAGAG